AAGAAAUAGCAAGGGAGCUUGUGGGAGCAGGCUGAGAGGAAGUCAUCUAACUUCGACCUUUAUAACCUGAUUUGGAUAAUACCAGCGAAGGGAGCAACCAGUGAACUCAU
rnacentral:ncRNA from 2 species